UACGAAGGGGGCUAGCGUUGUUCGGAAUCACUGGGCGUAAAGGGCGCGUAGGCGGCCGAUCAAGUCGGGGGUGAAAGCCUGUGGCUCAACCACAGAAUUGCCUUCCGAUACUGUUUGGCUUGAGACCGGAAGAGGUUAGUGGAACUGCGAGUGUAGAGGUGAAAUUCGUAGAUAUUCGCAAGAACACCAGUGGCGAAGGCGGCUCACUGGCCCGAUACUGACGCUGAGGUGCGAAAGCGUGGGGAGCAAACAGG
rnacentral:rRNA from 1 species